ACUUCCAUUUUCAUUUUCAUAGAUGGUAUCUAUAAACAGUCCUACCUUGUUAAAGAAUAAUCCUAUAAUUCACUAUUGCUAGUUGAGAAAUUGGCAAAAAUAUCAUUUUCAACUUCAGAUUUAAACGUUUGAAGAUAGCUGUUCCAUGGUGGAGAAUAGAAAACAAGAGAGCUAGAAUGAAUCUAAAUGACUCACAAGCUUGCAUUUGUCUACAUUUUCUGUUGGGUUAUCUGAAAAGCAAGUUGAAAUUUUAAUCCAACUAUAGUGAAAAGCACAUUAAAGAUAGAUUUUGUAA